rnacentral:rRNA from 1 species
GAUGAACGCUGGCGGCGUGCCUAAUACAUGCAAGUCGAGCGAACGGACGAGAAGCUUGCUUCUCUGAUGUUAGCGGCGGACGGGUGAGUAACACGUGGAUAACCUACCUAUAAGACUGGGAUAACUUCGGGAAACCGGAGCUAAUACCGGGUAAUAUUUUGAACCGCAUGGUUCAAAAGUGAAAGACGGUCUUGCCGUCACUUCUAGAUGGAUCCGCGUUGCAUUAGCUAGUUGGUAAGGUAACGGCUUACCAAGGCAACGAUGCACAGCCGACCUGGGAGGGUGAUCGCCCACACUGGAACUGCGACACGGUCCAGACUCCUACGGGAGGCAGCAGUAGGGAAUCUUCCGCAAUGGGCGAAAGCCUAACGAAGCAACGCCGCGUGCGUGAUGAAAGUCUUCGGAUCGUAAAACUCUGUUAUUAGGGAAGAACAUAUGUGUAAGUAACUGUGCACAUCUUGACGGUACCUAAUCAGAAAGCCACGGCUAACUACGUG